rnacentral:rRNA from 1 species
AGGGUUCGAUUCUGGCUCAGGAUGAACGCUGGCGGCGUGCUUAACACAUGCAAGUCGAACGGGAUCCAUCAGGCUUUGCUUGGUGGUGAGAGUGGCGAACGGGUGAGUAAUGCGUGACCGACCUGCCCCAUACACCGGAAUAGCUCCUGGAAACGGGUGGUAAUGCCGGAUGCUCCAGUUGAUCGCAUGGUCUUCUGGGAAAGCUUUCGCGGUAUGGGAUGGGGUCGCGUCCUAUCAGCUUGACGGCGGGGUAACGGCCCACCGUGGCUUCGACGGGUAGCCGGCCUGAGAGGGCGACCGGCCACAUUGGGACUGAGAUACGGCCCAGACUCCUACGGGAGGCAGCAGUGGGGAAUAUUGCACAAUGGGCGCAAGCCUGAUGCAGCGACGCCGCGUGAGGGAUGGAGGCCUUCGGGUUGUAAACCUCUUUUAUCGGGGAGCAAGCGAGAGUGAGUUUACCCGUUGAAUAAGCACCGGCUAACUACGUGCCAGCAGCCGCGGUAAUACGUAGGGUGCAAGCGUUAUCCGGAAUUAUUGGGCGUAAAGGGCUCGUAGGCGGUUCGUCGCGUCCGGUGUGAAAGUCCAUCGCUUAACGGUGGAUCUGCGCCGGGUACGGGCGGGCUGGAGUGCGGUAGGGGAGACUGGAAUUCCCGGUGUAACGGUGGAAUGUGUAGAUAUCGGGAAGAACACCAAUGGCGAAGGCAGGUCUCUGGGCCGUUACUGACGCUGAGGAGCGAAAGCGUGGGGAGCGAACAGGAUUAGAUACCCUGGUAGUCCACGCCGUAAACGGUGGAUGCUGGAUGUGGGGCCCGUUCCACGGGUUCCGUGUCGGAGCUAACGCGUUAAGCAUCCCGCCUGGGGAGUACGGCCGCAAGGCUAAAACUCAAAGAAAUUGACGGGGGCCCGCACAAGCGGCGGAGCAUGCGGAUUAAUUCGAUGCAACGCGAAGAACCUUACCUGGGCUUGACAUGUUCCCGACGACGCCAGAGAUGGCGUUUCCCUUCGGGGCGGGUUCACAGGUGGUGCAUGGUCGUCGUCAGCUCGUGUCGUGAGAUGUUGGGUUAAGUCCCGCAACGAGCGCAACCCUCGCCCCGUGUUGCCAGCACGUUAUGGUGGGAACUCACGGGGGACCGCCGGGGUUAACUCGGAGGAAGGUGGGGAUGACGUCAGAUCAUCAUGCCCCUUACGUCCAGGGCUUCACGCAUGCUACAAUGGCCGGUACAACGGGAUGCGACACGGCGACGUGGAGCGGAUCCCUGAAAACCGGUCUCAGUUCGGAUUGGAGUCUGCAACCCGACUCCAUGAAGGCGGAGUCGCUAGUAAUCGCGGAUCAGCAACGCCGCGGUGAAUGCGUUCCCGGGCCUUGUACACACCGCCCGUCAAGUCAUGAAAGUGGGUAGCACCCGAAGCCGGUGGCCUAACCCUUUGUGGAUGGAGCCGUCUAAGGUGAGACUCGUGAUUGGGACUAAGUCGUAACAAGGUAGCCGUACCGGAAGGUGCGGCUG